rnacentral:rRNA from 1 species
UACGUAGGUGCGAGCGUUGUCCGGAAUUAUUGGCGUAAAGAGCUCGUAGGCGGUCUGUCGCGUCUGCUGUGAAAACUCAGGCUUACCUGAGCUUGCAGUGGUACGGGCAGACUAGAGUGCGGUAGGGAGACUGGAAUUCCGUGGUGUAGCGGUGAAAUGCGCAGAUAUCGAGGAGGAACACCGGUGGCGAAGGCGGGUCUCUGGGCCGGUAACUGACGC